UCUAUUGAAUGUUGAGGUUUUUGGGUACCUGAAAGAAAAUGGUUUGCUUCAUCCAUUAGCAAAUUUGCAAGAGGAAGCCAAUGUCUUGAAACACGGAGGACAGCUGUGUGGGUGACAUUAAAAGCGAGCAUCAGGAUCCAGUGCUGCAGACUAUUGUGUCUCCGAAGCUGCCGGACUCAAUGUUUGACUUCGGUGCACAGGGCAGCUACUCUAUUGAAUAUUGAGGUUUUUGGGUACCUGAAAGAAAAUGGUUUGCUUCUUCCAUUGGCAAAGUUGCAAGAGGAUGGCACUGUCUUCAAACAAUCUUGGAUGUUCUAGAUGGCUCUGUGGUGGGCAAUAAAAGCAAGCAUCAGGAUCCAGUGCUGCAGACUACAGAGUUUCGGAUGCUGCUGGACAAGAUGAGUAUUGAGUUCAGUGCACAGGUCAGAGUACCCCUAGAUUGACGGAGCACCCCUGGAUGGACACAGCGUGGACAGAGCACCCCUAGCACUUUGAUGGACAACAGUGCAGUUCCCUGGAUAGACAACACAGCACGGACACAUCCGCUCACUACAAGCUUCACAGCCAGAUUGAAAUGGCGCCGAUCACCGGGGGCCUUAUAUAGAUUCCAUAACCCGCGAGAAUACAACAGCAGGAGGAUGACGUUUGUCCUCGUUUUGAGACCUGGAGGGAAAACCGAAGCUGGACGCGGAUCCUGGCCUGGAUCAGGAAGUUUGGGUGGGUCCGGUUCUCGGGGAACCGGACCCACUCAUCUCUAAAUAUUAUCUGCAAUAUAUUUUCUUAACAUGUGAAAAGUGGGGUGGUUGUUAUUAUCAUCCUUUUUCUCCGGCAGGGUACACAGGUUAUCAAAAGGAUAACAAUGAGAUAUGAUGGCGCGACAGCGGAUUUGCACAAA